GGGGAAUGGGUAAAAAGAGAAAGGGGAGUCAGGAUGCAAUUGGAGCAGAACCUUAUCUGGUGGAGCUGACGCACCAGAUAAUAUUGGAACAAUGAUAGAAGGAAAGAGGGAAAGGCUUCUGAGAAGCAACUCACAGUGCCUAUAGACUUGCAAAAUGAAGGAAUCUACUGCUUUCACUACUUUGGUAUGGCUUCAGUCAUGAAAUUAAAUUUCUGCAAAACCAAUUUUACUGAUGCUUUCAUUCUUGUCCCCUUUCAUUCUUGUUCAGUCCUCCACACAGCUGCUGAGAUGAACCAUUUGAAAGCAUAAGUCAAGUUAGGUUACUUCCAUACCCAAGCCCUUCCAAUGUCUUGCCAUUUCAUUUAGCAUAACUUCCAUCCCCUUUAUUAUGAGGAACAGGCUCUGUGGAUUUUUGCAACCACAACUCAUGCCUUAUUUGCUUUGUUCUAGGUCUGGUUUCUUUCUGUUCCUCCAAACUACCAAGCUUUUCUUUUCUUUUUCCUUUUUUUUUUUAAACCUUGUGCUCUCAGCACUUUUCAUUUUUUUUGUCCAGAAAUUUUGUUUCUUUAGAUUUUCACAUUAUUUUCUCUUUAUUCCCUGC
rnacentral:lncRNA from 1 species